rnacentral:rRNA from 1 species
CAAGUCGAACGGCAGCAUGGUGUGUAGCAAUACACACUGAUGGCGAGUGGCGGACGGGUGAGGAACACGUAGGAAUCUGCCUUAUAGAGGGGGACAACUAGAGGAAACUCUAGCUAAUACCGCAUACACUCUACGGAGGAAAGGCUGGGGCAACCUGGCGCUAUAAGAGGAGCCUGCGUCCGAUUAGCUAGUUGGUUAGGUAAAAGCUGACCAAGGCGAUGAUCGGUAGCUGGUCUGAGAGGAUGAUCAGCCACACUGGGACUGAGACACGGCCCAGACUCCUACGGGAGGCAGCAGUGGGGAAUAUUGGACAAUGGGGGCAACCCUGAUCCAGCAAUGCCGCGUGUGUGAAGAAGGCCUUCGGGUUGUAAAGCACUUUAGUUGGGGAAGAAGUUGCGUAGUUUAAGAGAUGACGUAAUUGACGGUACCCAAAGAAUAAGCACCGGCUAACUCUGUGCCAGCAGCCGCGGUAAUACAGAGGGUGCGAGCGUUAAUCGGAGUUACUGGGCGUAAAGGGCGCGUAGGCGGUUGAAUAAGUGAGAUGUAAAAUCCCUGGGCUUAACCUAGGCAGGUCAUCUUAAACUGUUCGGCUAGAGUAUUGUAGAGGGUAGUGGAAUUUCCGGUGUAGCGGUGAAAUGCGUAGAGAUCGGAAGGAACACCAGUGGCGAAGGCGGCUACCUGGACAAAUACUGACGCUGAGGCGCGAAAGCGUGGGGAUCAAACAGGAUUAGAUACCCUGGUAGUCCACGCUGUAAACGAUGAGAACUAGAUGUUGGUAGGCCUGACCUAUUAGUAUCGAAGCUAACGCGAUAAGUUCUCCGCCUGGGGAGUACGACCGCAAGGUUAAAACUCAAAGGAAUUGAC